rnacentral:rRNA from 1 species
AUUGAACGCUGGCGGCAGGCUUAACACAUGCAAGUCGAGCGGGGUGAUGGUGCUUGCACUAUCACUUAGCGGCGGACGGGUGAGUAAUGCUUAGGAAUCUGCCUAUUAGUGGGGGAUAACACCUCGAAAGGGAUGCUAAUACCGCAUACGUCCUACGGGAGAAAGCAGGGGAUCACUUGUGACCUUGCGCUAAUAGAUGAGCCUAAGUCGGAUUAGCUAGUUGGUGGGGUAAAGGCCUACCAAGGCGACGAUCUGUAGCGGGUCUGAGAGGAUGAUCCGCCACACUGGGACAGAGACACGGCCUAGACUCCUACGGGAGGCAGCAGUGGGGAAUAUUGGACAAUGGGGGGAACCCUGAUCCAGCCAUGCCGCGUGUGUGAAGAAGGCCUUAUGGUUGCAAAGCACUUUAAGCGAGGAGGAGGCUCUUUUGGUUAAUACCCAAGAUGAGUGGACGUUACUCGCAGAAUAAGCACCGGCUAACUCUGUGCCAGCCGCCGCGGUAA